UACGUAGGGAGCGAGCGUUGUCCGGAUUCAUUGGGCGUAAAGAGCUCGUAGGCGGCUUGAUUAGUCGGAUGUGAAACCUCCAGGCUCAACCUGGAGUCGCCAUCCGAUACUGUCAUGGCUAGAGUCCGGUAGGGGCCCACGGAAUUCCUGGUGUAGCGGUGAAAUGCGCAGAUAUCAGGAGGAACACCGGUGGCGAAGGCGGCUCUCUGGGACGGUACUGACGCUGAGACGCGAAAGCGUGGGGAGCGAACAGG
rnacentral:rRNA from 1 species